CUUCCAGUAGCACCUUAGAGACCAACUAAGUUUGUUAUUGGUAUGAGCUUUCGUGUGCAUGCCAAUAACAAACUUAGUUGGUCUCUAAGGUGCUGCUGGAAG